CGCGGUCCGGGACUGGAGCCGGGCGUCGCUCAGCCGCCCUUGGCCUUCCUAAAAUCCAGCCCCGUCGGGAGAGUGGUGGGUUAUAGCUGGAGUUACAUUCACAGUGGUCGGCAGGAGACCCUCGGCGCGGCCUUCUGUCUCGGAGGGACAACGCUGAAAGCAGGAGUUCUCUUUGAGUACGCAGCGUGUCUGGGGUAGCAGCACUGCUCUGGAGAUUGGUUAUAAAAGAGGUUAUAAGAAAAUUGGCCAUGGGCAAAGGAAGUCAUCUGCAUGGGGAGGUCAAGGAGAAGUUACCUGGAGGUGUGCAUCCAUUCUUGCAGUUGCCAGCUGUGAAAGUGAAAACAUCGAUGGUUUUACUGACAUGGAUUUUCAUUUACGUGCAAAUGAUUGCCAUAAACACUGCACGGAAGGAAACCAGUGAAGUGUCUCUCCUGUGCACACCUGGCCAAGCACUGGGAACUGCAGCCACACUUUCAGUCACAGGGGCAGAAGAGGGACUCCUGAAGCCACUGAAGGAAGGAAAUCAUUACAGGGUUCUACAGAAGUAGGUCAUGUGCUACAGCUGCUCAUAGUUUAAGAGGAAGAAACAUGGGACCUCAAACAUGGAACACGACUCCUUCAAAAUGCUUGAGAGCAACCCAAGAAAA